rnacentral:rRNA from 1 species
CCCCUAUUGUUAGUUGCCAUCAUUCAGUUGGGCACUCUAGCGAGACUGCCGGUAAUAAACCGGAGGAAGUGGGGAUGACGUCAAAUCAUCAUGCCCCUUAUGACCUGGGCUACACACGUGCUACAAUGGUUGGUACAACGAGUUGCGAGUCGGUGACGGCGAGCUAAUCUCUUAAAAGCCAAUCUCAGUUCGGAUUGUAGGCUGCAACUCGCCUACAUGAAGUCGGAAUCGCUAGUAAUCGCGGAUCAGCACGCCGCGGUCGAAUACGUUCCCGGGCCUU